AGUGUGAUGAAUGUUUUAUUUUCACCUCUUCUCAAGCCUCUGUUGGAGACAACAGGAAGUUGGCUUUACUGGGUGUGAAAGCCAUUGGAUGGGCAUCAGACGAAAACUUCUUCUGAAAGAACUUGUAAUUGAAUCGUUUCUCCAAGAUUAACUCAACUAUUACCUCUUCCAUGAAGUUCUCCUAAUAGUUCUAGCUGGAAGUGACUUAACAUCUGUACCUCUUUGGACACUUGUCGUUUGUCCCGGUCAUCGGUUUGGUGGUGCAAGAUGGGCCAACUCCAAGGGGAUAAGUGUUACAGGCCGGCUAGAACUUCUGAGGAAAUGGCACUGUUUACAACUGCCAAGCAUGGACGCAACUCAAGUGUCCAUCAAGAGAGGAAUGGAUAAAGAAGAUUGUACACGGACGUAAAGAACAGGCUUUUGGACUCAGCGGGAGAAGGAGAGGGUGGGAUGAUUUGAGAGAUUAGCAUGGACACCUAUACAUUAAGUAAAACAGACAACCAGCGGGAGUUUGAUGCAUGAAACAGGGCACCCAAAGCUGGUGCUCUGUGAGAAC